AUUGAACGCUGGCGGCGUGCUUAACACAUGCAAGUCGAUCGGUAACAGGUGUAGCAAUACAUGCUGACGAGAGGCGGACGGGUGAGGAAUAUUUGGGAAUCUGCCCAUCAGCGGGGGACAACCCGGGGAAACUCGGGCUAAUACCGCAUACGCUCUACGGAGGAAAGCCGGGGACCGCAAGGCCUGGCACUGAUGGAUGAGCCCAAAUCGGAUUAGCUAGUUGGCGGGGUAACGGCCCACCAAGGCGACGAUCCGUAGCUGGGCUGAGAGGACAAUCAGCCACACCGGAACUGAGACACGGUCCGGACUCCUACGGGAGGCAGCAGUGGGGAAUAUUGGACAAUGGGGGAAACCCUGAUCCAGCGACGCCGCGUGGGUGAAGAAGGCCUGCGGGUUGUAAAGCCCUUUCGGUAGGGAAGAAAUCUCUUGUCUUAACACGGCAAGGGUUUGACUUAACCUACAUAAGAAGCACCGGCUAACUCUGUGCCAGCCGCCGCCGUAACAC
rnacentral:rRNA from 1 species